rnacentral:tRNA from 2 species
GGUAGGGUGGCCGAGCGGUCUAAUGCGCUGGAUUUAGGCUCCAGUCUCUGUGAGGACGUGGGUUCGAAUCCCACCGCUGCCA